rnacentral:tRNA from 1 species
AAAGCUUUAAGUUAAAAAAACUAUUAACCUUCAAAGUUAAAAAUAUAUUCAAUAUAAGCUUUA